AUUGAACGCUGGCGGCAUGCCUUACACAUGCAAGUCGAACGGCAGCACGGGUGCUUGCACCUGGUGGCGAGUGGCGAACGGGUGAGUAAUACAUCGGAACAUGUCCUGUAGUGGGGGAUAGCCCGGCGAAAGCCGGAUUAAUACCGCAUACGAUCUACGGAUGAAAGCGGGGGACCUUCGGGCCUCGCGCUAUAGGGUUGGCCGAUGGCUGAUUAGCUAGUUGGUGGGGUAAAGGCCUACCAAGGCGACGAUCAGUAGCUGAUCUGAGAGGACGACCAGCCACACUGGGACUGAGACACGGCCCAGACUCCUACGGGAGGCAGCAGUGGGGAAUUUUGGACAAUGGGCGAAAGCCUGCUCCAGCAAUGCCGCGUGUGUGAAGAAGGCCUUCGGGUUGUAAAGCACUUUUGUCCGGAAAGAAAUCCUUGGCCCUAAUACGGUCGGGGGAUGACGGUACCGGAAGAAUAAGCACCGGCUAACUACGUG
rnacentral:rRNA from 1 species